rnacentral:rRNA from 1 species
CUUGUUUCCUUGGUGGGUUCGCCCACCACUAGGACAAACAUAAACCUUUUGUAAUUGCAAUCAGCGUCAGUAACAAAUUAAUAAUUACAACUUUCAACAACGGAUCUCUUGGUUCUGGCAUCGAUGAAGAACGCAGCGAAAUGCGAUAAGUAGUGUGAAUUGCAGAAUUCAGUGAAUCAUCGAAUCUUUGAACGCACAUUGCGCCCUUUGGUAUUCCAAAGGGCAUGCCUGUUCGAGCGUCAUUUGUACCCUCAAGCUUUGCUUGGUGUUGGGCGUCUUGUCUCUAGCUUUGCUGGAGACUCGCCUUAAAGUAAUUGGCAGCCGGCCUACUGGUUUCGGAGCGCAGCACAAGUCGCACUCUCUAUCAGCAAAGGUCUAGCAUCCAUUAAGCCUUUUUUUCAACUUUUGACCUCGGAUCAGGUAGGGAUACCCGCUGAACUUAAGCAUAUCAAUAAGCGGAGGA